CAGUAGCCGCGGUAAGACGUAGGGUCCAAGCGUUGUCCGGAUUUACUGGGCGUAAAGGGCGCGUAGGCGGUCCGUUAAGUGUAGAGUGAAAUCUCUGGGCUCACCCCAGAAACCGCUCUGCAUACUGGCGGACUUGAGGGUCGCAGAGGCUUGUGGAAUUCCUGGUGUAGCGGUGAAAUGCGUUGAUAUCAGGAGGAACACCCAUGGCGAAGGCAGCAAGCUGGGCGACAUCUGACGCUGAGGCGCGAAAGCGUGGGUAGCAAACAGGAUUAGAUACCCGAGUAGUCCCUGUCUCUUAUAA
rnacentral:rRNA from 1 species